GGUAAAGCACUGAUUAGGCUAGGGCCCUUCAUCGGGUACCAAACUUAGUUAAACUAUGAAUACACCAACUCCAAAGAUUGGGAGUGAGACUGCGGGCGAUAAGGUUCGUGGUCGAAAGGGAAACAGCCCAGACCGUCAAUUAAGGUCCCAAAAUUAUGCUAAGUGGAGAAGGAAGUGUCACGGCAAAGACAGCUAGGAGGUUGGCUUAGAAGCAGCCAUUCCUUAAAAGAGUGCGUAAUAGCUCACUAGUCGAGUCGUGAUGCGCCGAAAAUGUAACGGGGCUAAGCAUAAUACCGAAAUUACGGAUUCUAUAUAUUAGAUAUAGAGUGGUAGAGGAGCAUUCCCUAGGGCGAUGAAGGUAGAUUGAGAAGUCUGCUGGAGCUAUGGGAAGAGAGAAUGCAGGCAUGAGUAACGAAAAGGGAGGUGAGAGUCCUCCCCGCCGAAAAUGUAAGGUUUCCAGGGUAAAGGUUGUCUUCCCUGGGUGAGUCGACCCCUAAGGCGAGGCUGAAAAGCGUAGUCGAUGGGAAGCAGGUUAAUAUUCCUGCACUUCUGAUAGUUUCGAAGGAAUGACACAGGAGGAGAAUAUCCGCCACUUAUUGGAUUGUGGUCUAAGCAUCAAGCUGAUUGAAAGAGUACAGGCAAAUCCGUACUUUUAGGUAAGAUGUGAAGGGGAAGGCUGUAAAAAGCUGGAAGGGAUAGGAUUCAUACUGUCAAGAAAUAAUUUCUAAGGUUAGGCUAUUGGGAAUCGUACCGUAAACCGACACAGGUACAUGAGAAGAGUAUUCUAAGGCGUACGAGAGAACUAGAGUUAAGGAACUCGGCAAAAUACAUACGUAACUUCGGGAUAAGUAUGACCACUGAAAGGUGGUGACACAAGAGAGGUUCGGGCGACUGUUUACCAAAAACACAGGUCUCUGCUAACUCGCAAGAGGAGGUAUAGGGGCUGACGCCUGCCCGGUGCUGGAAGGUUAAGAGGAUUGGUUAGCGGGUAACUGCGAAGCUAAGAAUUGAAGCCCCAGUAAACGGCGGCCGUAACUAUGACGGUCCUAAGGUAGCGAAAUUCCUCGUCGGGUAAUUUCCGACCCGCACGAAUGGCGUAACGAUCCGGACACUGUCUCAACUCUAGACUCGGUGAAAUUGAAGUAUCGGUGAAGAUGCCGAUUACCCACAGUUAGACGAAAAGACCCCGUGAACCUUUACUGUAACCUGAUAUUGAAAUUUGGGCAAUCAUGCGUAGGAUAGGUGGGAGACUAUGAAGUUUGAGCUUUGGCUUGAAUGGAGUCGUUGGUGAAAUACCACCCUUGAUUGUUUAGGUUUCUAACUGGUGCCAACAACUGGUACUAGGACAUUGUCAGGCGGGCAGUUUGGCUGGGGCGGUCGCCUCCUAAAGAGUAACGGAGGCGCGCCAAGGUUACCUUAUCUUGGUUAGAAAUCAAGAGGAAAGUGCAAAGGCAGAAGGUAGCUUGACUGCGAGACGC
rnacentral:rRNA from 1 species